rnacentral:rRNA from 1 species
GACGAACGCUGGCGGCGUGCUUAACACAUGCAAGUCGAACGGAAAGGCCCCUUUGGGGGUCCUCGAGUGGCGAACGGGUGAGUAACACGUGAGUAACCUGCCCUUGACUUCGGGAUAACUUCAGGAAACUGGGGCUAAUACCGGAUAGGAAUCCUUGCUGCAUGGUGGGGGUUGGAAAGCUUCGGCGGUUUUGGAUGGACUCGCGGCUUAUCAGCUUGUUGGUGGGGUAGUGGCUUACCAAGGCUUUGACGGGUAGCCGGCCUGAGAGGGCGACCGGCCACAUUGGGACUGAGAUACGGCCCAGACUCCGACGGGAGGCAGAAGGGGGGAAUAUUGCACAAUGGGCGGAAGCCUGAUGCAGCAACGCCGCGGGCGGGAGGACGGCCUUCGGGUUGUAAACCGCUUUCAGCAGGGGCGAAGCUUGUGGUGACGGUACCUGCAGAAGAAGCACCGGCUAACUACGUG